UACGGGGGGGGUAAGCGUUGUUCGGAAUUACUGGGCGUAAAGGGCUCGUAGGCGGCCAACUAAGUCGGACGUGAAAUCCCUCGGCUUAACCGGGGAACUGCGUCCGAUACUGGAUGGCUUGAGUUCGGGAGAGGGAUGCGGAAUUCCAGGUGUAGCGGUGAAAUGCGUAGAUAUCUGGAGGAACACCGGUGGCGAAGGCGGCAGCCUGGACCGACACUGACGCUGAGGAGCGAAAGCCAGGGGAGCAAACGGG
rnacentral:rRNA from 1 species